UCUAAAAGAACCCAUAGCCAUCAAGAAUGUGCCAAUGCCCCUACAACCUUUAUCCGAUGCUGGGAUUGCAGAACUUUGCAUCACGUGGCAUGGUUCCCUAGGUUACACUGGUGAACAGUGCAAAGUGAUCGCCAGAAAGCUGCACCCGACGUAGGGAUACGGUCCACGCUGUAGUUAUUAAGGCUGAGUCGAGUACUACUUUCUUCGGGUAUCGGGUCCGGGUAGUUUUCCACGGGUAGCACGGGUACCCGAUCGGGUAAUGUUUCCAUGGUAAGACCACAAUGCACACCGGCCCCUUCCCUUGCGCAUUGGGUAGACAUGCGUGAUUUAUUUGUACACGUGCACUGUACAUGAUGUCCUCACGGGUAGCACGGGUACCCGACUACCCGUGCACACCACUAGGAGUUAUCAUGAAAAUAUAUUGAAUGACGUUCACUACCUUCACUACCUCAGUUUGAGCACUUUGGCAGGUAUGGUCGGGCCUGGUUUAAAUCUAGCUUUGGAAAAAUAAAUUUUUCAUUGCUAUCAGGUUCGGCCUCAUUUCCUCUGUGCUGCGCUGAUGAGUCCACAAAGGACGAAACAGUUCUGUUCGCAGAUUGAGUUCCUGUAUAUGGGUUUGUGACGUGAUGUGACGAUUUGCCGUCGCAGACCCGACAGAUUGGAGUUGCACACCCUUGCUGGUUAUGUGCUCUCUGGAUAGUGUAGUGUGUUGGUGUAAGAAGUGCUGCUUUUGCCUGGCUAUGUUCACCUGCUUGUUAUGGACAUUCGGUGAUUAUCUGUAAGUGUCCUCAAACUGGGAAGAUGUUGUAUUUUUUGCGUGUGUCCGCACAUCAUACAAGCGGGUGAUGAGAACAACAGAUGUGUCAUCGUCCCCGAAGAAGUAGCAAGUGGAAAGAGAAAAGUAAUGUCAGCUGACAUUCCCCCUUCCCCCCCCCCCCCCCCCUCUAACUCUAUGUUAUGCAUUUGAAAGUGUUUUGCUGACGGGACUGACUCACGACUGCCAUUUAACGCACGCAAAAAGUCCAUCGAACCUAUUGUGCGUGGUACUUGUGACACAAUAAUGAAUGUUGUCGUGGUAUUUGUUGGAUCGUGGAGCUCUUGGACGUCGACCCCUCUCUCUCUCUCUCUCUCACUCUCUCUCUCUCUCUCUCUCUCUCUCUC